rnacentral:rRNA from 1 species
GGAUUUAUUGGGCGUAAAGCGAGCGCAGGCGGUUUGAUAAGUCUGAAGUUAAAGGCUGUGGCUCAACCAUAGUUCGCUUUGGAAACUGUCAAACUUGAGUGCAGAAGGGGAGAGUGGAAUUCCAUGUGUAGCGGUGAAAUGCGUAGAUAUAUGGAGGAACACCGGUGGCGAAAGCGGCUCUCUGGUCCGUAACUGACGCUGAGGCUCGAAAGCGUGGGGAGCGAACAGGAUUAGAUACCCUGGUAGUCCACGCCGUAAACGAUGAGUGCUAAGUGUUGGGGGUUUCCGCCCUCAGUGCUGCAGCUAACGCAUUAAGCACUCCGCCUGGGGAGUAC